CUGGUAGUUCAGUUGGUUAGAAUACCUGCCUGUCACGCAGGGGGUCGCGGGUUCGAGUCCCGUCCAG
rnacentral:tRNA from 1 species